rnacentral:rRNA from 1 species
UACGGAGGGUGCAAGCGUUGUUCGGAAUUAUUGGGCGUAAAGAGCUCGUAGGCGGUCUGUUGCGUCGGCUGUGAAAACCCGGGGCUCAACUCCGGGCCUGCAGCCGAUACGGGCAGACUAGAGUUCGGCAGGGGAGACUGGAAUUCCUGGUGUAGCGGUGAAAUGCGCAGAUAUCAGGAGGAACACCGGUGGCGAAGGCGGGUCUCUGGGCCGAUACUGACGCUGAGGAGCGAAAGCGUGGGGAGCGAACAGG